GGUCUACUGGCGCAAUGGUAGCGUAUCAGCCUUCUACAACACUACGUGGGUAGGGGCGAGCUGAGGGUUGCGGGUUCGAGCCCCGCGUGGACCU